UGUGAUUAUAGAGGCGCAAAUAUUAUCAGUAUAUAUAGUGAGCUGGCAGCAAUGAACUAUAUAGAAAGGAAUAGUUGCCGAAACAACAAAAAAUGCCAUUUCUUGUUGUUGGGCUUGUAUUAAAUAAAUACAAGACUGUCAUCUAAUUUUUCAGAUGAAGUGCUAUCUCACGC
rnacentral:ncRNA from 2 species